rnacentral:rRNA from 1 species
UAAUUGAAGAGUUUGAUCAUGGCUCAGAUUGAACGCUGGCGGCAGGCCUAACACAUGCAAGUCGAGCGGUAACAGGAGAAAGCUUGCUUUCUUGCUGACGAGCGGCGGACGGGUGAGUAAUGUAUGGGGAUCUGCCCGAUAGAGGGGGAUAACUACUGGAAACGGUGGCUAAUACCGCAUAAUGUCUACGGACCAAAGCAGGGGCUCUU